AUUGAACGCUGGCGGCAUGCCUUAUACAUGCAAGUCGAACGGCCGCACGGGAGCUUGCCUCUGGUGGUGAGUGGCGCACGGGUGAGUAUUACAUCGGAACAUGUCCUGUAGUGGGGGAUAGCACGGCGAAAGCCGGAUUACUACCGCAUACGAACUUCGGGAGAAACCGGGGGCACAUGGGGACUCGCGCCUUGGGGUUGCUCGUUGGUUGAUUAGCUAGUUGGUGGGGUAAAGGCCUACCAAGGCGACGAUCAGUAGCCGGUCUGAGAGGGAGACCAGCCACACUGGGACUGAGACACGGCCCAGACUCCUACGGGAGGCAGCAGUAGGGAAUUUUGGACAAUGGGCGAAAGCCUGAUCCAGCAAUGCCGCGUGUGUGAAGAAGGUCUUCGGGUUGUAAAGCACUGUUGUCCGGAAAGAAAUCCUUUGCCCUAAUACGGUCGGAGGAUGACGGUACCGGAAGAGUAAGCACCGGCUAACUACGUG
rnacentral:rRNA from 1 species